rnacentral:misc_RNA from 1 species
GGAAUACUGAAAUUGGCUAUGGAGCCAUCACUGCUGGGGACUGCUCUGAUGGAAGGUGGCCCAGACAGGAAGAUCAAGCUUGAUAGAAGUCCUGGGGUUGAUGAGUUAUAUAUUGAAGGUUACCUGCAAGCUAUGUUGGAUACUAGGCAGGCGUAUCUGAGAGUCAGAGUGAUAGACGAUCAGGUGCUCCUCAAAAACCUACCCCCCAACAGUGCCCUCAUAGAUGAGAUCGUGGAUCAUGUGAAAGGGUUCCUUGUAAGCAAGGCAUUGUUAAAAGGAGAUCCUUCAGCAUCUUCUUACCCUCUGCGUCAUCUUCAACGAGAAAGUGAAUGGAAAAUAGGACCAACUCUGAUCACAUUGUGUGAACACCUCUUUGUGAGUUUUGCAAUUCGGAUGCUGAGAAAGCAAACUGGUAAGCUUAUGGCCAAUAUCAAGUGGAAGAAAGAAUCAGA